GACAGAGGCCUCAAGCGUUAGGCGGAAUUACUGGGCGUAAAGCGUGCGCAGGCGGUCUGUUAAGACCGAUGUGAAAUCCCCGGGCUUAACCUGGGAACUGCAUUGGUGACUGGCAGGCUUUGAGUGUGGCAGAGGGAGGUAGAAUUCCACGUGUAGCAGUGAAAUGCGUAGAGAUGUGGAGGAAUACCGAUGGCGAAGGCAGCCUCCUGGGCCAACACUGACACUCAUGCACGAAAGCGUGGGGAGCAAACAGG
rnacentral:rRNA from 1 species